rnacentral:rRNA from 1 species
AACGCGAAGAACCUUACCCACCUUUGACAUGUACGGAACUUGCCAGAGAUGGCUUGGUGCUCGAAAGAGAACCGUAACACAGGUGCUGCAUGGCUGUCGUCAGCUCGUGUCGUGAGAUGUUGGGUUAAGUCCCGCAACGAGCGCAACCCUUGCCAUUAGUUGCUACGAAAGGGCACUCUAAUGGGACUGCCGGUGACAAACCGGAGGAAGGUGGGGAUGACGUCAAGUCCUCAUGGCCCUUAUAGGUGGGGCUACACACGUCAUACAAUGGCUGGUACAGAGGGUUGCCAACCCGCGAGGGGGAGCCAAUCCCAUAAAGCCAGUCGUAGUCCGGAUCGCAGUCUGCAACUCGACUGCGUGAAGUCGGAAUCGCUAGUAAUCGCGGAUCAGAAUGUCGCGGUGAAUACGUUCCCGGGCCUUGUACACACCG